UCCUAACCGUGCAAAGGUAGCGCAAUCAAUUGUCCCAUAAAUCGGGACACGUAUGAAUGGCUAAACGAGGUCUUAACUGUCUCUUACAGGCAAUCGGUGAAAUUGAUCUCCCUGUGCAAAAGCAGGGAUAACCACAUAAGACGAGAAGACCCUGUGGAACUUCAAAAACAGCAACCACCCCAAUAUACAUUCACACCCACCCCGGGCUCACUUAUCCACAAAGCACUGGUUUGCAUUUUUUCGGUUGGGGCGACCUUGGAGCAAAGCAAAACCUCCAAAAACUGGACCAUCCCUCCAGACUAAGAGCAACUCCUCAACGUGCCAACAGCACCCAGACCCAAUAUAAUUGAUCAAUGGACCAAGCUACCCCAGGGAUAACAGCGCAAUCUCCUCCGAGAGUCCAUAUCGACGAGGAGGUUUACGACCUCGAUGUUGGAUCAGGACAUCCUAGUGGUGCAGGAGCUACUAA
rnacentral:rRNA from 1 species